GACGAACGCUUGCGGCGUGCUUAACACAUGCAAGUCGAACGGAAAGGCCCUGCUUUUGUGGGGUGCUCGAGUGGCGAACGGGUGAGUAACACGUGAGUAACCUGCCCUUGACUUUGGGAUAACUUCAGGAAACUGGGGCUAAUACCGGAUAGGAGCUCCUGCUGCAUGGUGGGGGUUGGAAAGUUUCGGCGGUUGGGGAUGGACUCGCGGCUUAUCAGCUUGUUGGUGGGGUAGUGGCUUACCAAGGCUUUGACGGGUAGCCGGCCUGAGAGGGUGACCGGCCACAUUGGGACUGAGAUACGGCCCAGACUCCUACGGGAGGCAGCAGUGGGGAAUAUUGCACAAUGGGCGGAAGCCUGAUGCAGCAACGCCGCGUGCGGGAUGACGGCCUUCGGGUUGUAAACCGCUUUCGCCUGUGACGAAGCGUGAGUGACGGUAAUGGGUAAAGAAGCACCGGCUAACUACGUGCCAGCAGCCGCGGUGAUACGUAGGGUGCGAGCGUUGUCCGGAUUUAUUGGGCGUAAAGGGCUCGUAGGUGGUUGAUCGCGUCGGAAGUGUAAUCUUGGGGCUUAACCCUGAGCGUGCUUUCGAUACGGGUUGACUUGAGGAAGGUAGGGGAGAAUGGAAUUCCUGGUGGAGCGGUGGAAUGCGCAGAUAUCAGGAGGAACACCAGUGGCGAAGGCGGUUCUCUGGGCCUUUCCUGACGCUGAGGAGCGAAAGCGUGGGGAGCGAACAGGCUUAGAUACCCUGGUAGUCCACGCUGUAAACGGUGGGUACUAGGUGUGGGGUCCAUUCCACGGGUUCCGUGCCGUAGCUAACGCUUUAAGUACCCCGCCUGGGGAGUACGGCCGCAAGGCUAAAACUCAAAGGAAUUGACGGGGCCCCGCACAAGCGGCGGAGCAUGCGGAUUAAUUCGAUGCAACGCGUAGAACCUUACCUGGGUUUGACAUGGAUCGGGAGUGCUCAGAGAUGGGUGUGCCUCUUUUGGGGUCGGUUCACAGGUGGUGCAUGGCUGUCGUCAGCUCGUGUCGUGAGAUGUUGGGUUAAGUCCCGCAACGAGCGCAACCCUUGUUCACUGUUGCCAGCACGUUAUGGUGGGGACUCAGUGGAGACCGCCGGGGUCAACUCGGAGGAAGGUGGGGAUGACGUCAAGUCAUCAUGCCCCUUAUGUCCAGGGCUUCACGCAUGCUACAAUGGCUGGUACAGAGAGUGGCGAGCCUGUGAGGGUGUGCGAAUCUCGGAAAGCCGGUCUCAGUUCGGAUUGGGGUCUGCAACUCGACCUCAUGAAGUCGGAGUCGCUAGUAAUCGCAGAUCAGCAACGCUGCGGUGAAUACGUUCCCGGGGCU
rnacentral:rRNA from 1 species